UACGUAGGUGGCAAGCGUUGUCCGGAAUUAUUGGGCGUAAAGCGCGCGCAGGCGGUCCUUUAAGUCUGAUGUGAAAGCCCACGGCUCAACCGUGGAGGGUCAUUGGAAACUGGGGGACUUGAGUGCAGAAGAGGAAAGCGGAAUUCCACGUGUAGCGGUGAAAUUCGUAGAUAUUGGGAAGAACACCGGUGGCGAAGGCGGCUCUCUGGACCGAGACUGACGCUGAGGAGCGAAAGCGUGGGGAGCGAACAGG
rnacentral:rRNA from 1 species